rnacentral:rRNA from 1 species
AUUGAACGCUGGCGGCAGGCCUAACACAUGCAAGUCGAACGGUAACAGGAAGCAGCUUGCUGCUUCGCUGACGGGUGGCGGACGGGUGAGUAAUGUCUGGGAAACUGCCUGAUGGAGGGGGAUAACUACUGGAAACGGUAGCUAAUACCGCAUAACGUCGCAAGACCAAAGAGGGGGACCUUAGGGCCUCUUGCCAUCGGAUGUGCCCAGAUGGGAUUAGCUAGUAGGUGGGGUAACGGCUCACCUAGGCGACGAUCCCUAGCUGGUCUGAGAAGAUGACCAGCCACACUGGAACUGAGACACGGUCCAGACUCCUACGGGAGGCAGCAGUGGGGAAUAUUGCACAAUGGGCGCAAGCCUGAUGCAGCCAUGCCGCGUGUAUGAAGAAGGCCUUCGGGUUGUAAAGUACUUUCAGCGGGGAGGAAGGGAGUAAAGUUAAUACCUUUGCUCAUUGACGUUACCCGCAGAAGAAGCACCGGCUAACUCCGUG